rnacentral:lncRNA from 1 species
AGAUGGUUGUUCCUCAUCUCGGAGAACUAUUGGUCUGAUAGCCAGGCCAGAAGCUCUCAACAGAGACCCAGGUGCUGGAAAAGGAAACCCCAGUAAGCUGGAACGAAGCAGCUGAAGUGGUAACCGAAGUGCUUUGGACAAGCAGUCAUCUCUCAUUGUGGAGACUGCCAUGGCUUGGCACAGGAAGGAAGGAAGGUCUUGUUGGCUCCAGGAAGAAGGAGACAUUGACAUUCCUUGGUGGUGUGUGACUGGUCAUCAGCUGACCAGAAGAUACUGAUGGAGGUGCUUCUUCACGCAAGCAAGACUGCAAGCCCCAGCUCCUUUUCAUUCGACUGAGAAGAUAAUGCAUGGUAGCGAUGUGAAUGUGUUGCUCUCAUGAGGUGAGUGCUGACUUUUGGCCAUACCAGUGGUAACGAAGGGUUACAGAAGUGCUGAAACUCAAAAAUACAAACACAAAUAUCAGACCUUCAGCCCUCCCAUAGGGCAUU